UACGUAGGGGGCAAGCGUUGUCCGGAUUUAUUGGGCGUAAAGAGCGUGUAGGCGGCUUUACAGGUCCGUUGUGAAAACUCGAGGCUCAACCUCGAGACGCCGGUGGAAACCGUAAAGCUAGAGUCCGGAAGAGGAGAGUGGAAUUCCUGGUGUAGCGGUGAAAUGCGCAGAUAUCAGGAGGAACACCCGUGGCGAAAGCGGCUCUCUGGGACAGUACUGACGCUGAGACGCGAAAGCGUGGGGAGCAAACAGG
rnacentral:rRNA from 1 species